AAAAGGUGGUAAUGCCGGAUGCUCCAGUUGAUCGCAUGGUCUUCUGGGAAAGCUUUCGCGGUAUGGGAUGGGGUCGCGUCCUAUCAGCUUGACGGCGGGGUAACGGCCCACCGUGGCUUCGACGGGUAGCCGGCCUGAGAGGGCGACCGGCCACAUUGGGACUGAGAUACGGCCCAGACUCCUACGGGAGGCAGCAGUGGGGAAUAUUGCACAAUGGGCGCAAGCCUGAUGCAGCGACGCCGCGUGAGGGAUGGAGGCCUUCGGGUUGUAAACCUCUUUUAUCGGGGAGCAAGCGAGAGUGAGUUUACCCGUUGAAUAAGCACCGGCUAACUACGUGCCAGCAGCCGCGGUAAUACGUAGGGUGCAAGCGUUAUCCGGAAUUAUUGGGCGUAAAGGGCUCGUAGGCGGUUCGUCGCGUCCGGUGUGAAAGUCCAUCGCUUAACGGUGGAUCCGCGCCGGGUACGGGCGGGCUUGAGUGCGGUAGGGGAGACUGGAAUUCCCGGUGUAACGGUGGAAUGUGUAGAUAUCGAA
rnacentral:rRNA from 1 species